rnacentral:rRNA from 1 species
UACGUAGGGGGCAAACGUUGUCCGGAAUCAUUGGGCGUAAAGCGCUUGUAGGCGGUCCUGUAAGUCGGACGUUAAAUCCCCCCGCUCAACGGGGGUUCGCGUUCGAUACUGCGGGGCUGGAGAAAUAUAGAGGAAAGCGGAACUACCGGUGUAGCGGUGAAAUGCGUAGAUAUCGGUAGGAACACCAGUGGCGAAGGCGGCUUUCUGGAUAUUUUCUGACGCUGAGAAGCGAAAGUUAAGGGAGC